rnacentral:misc_RNA from 1 species
UGGAAAUCAGCUUCACUGACAUCUUAAAAAAAGGCUUCUUACUCUUUAGGAUCACUUGAUGCUUAAUUCUGGUUGUGAUGCCUAGGAAAUUCUGUAUGAGAAAUUUAGAAUCUUUACUUUUCAUAGUUGCAUUUUGCAAAUAAGCUUUCAUGAAUUUCAGAUUUGAUUUUUAUUUUGUUUUUCCACAAAUCCAAGAAAUAUUUCCUUCAACCCUAUUUUAUGCUUCCUUUUAUCCUAGCUGCUAGUCAUGUUUACCAUUGACUCCACUGGUACAAUAACAAUAUAUGAAAAAAUUCCCCUAAAUCUUGAUCUUCUGUUCUUGAUUUGGUUCUGAA